rnacentral:rRNA from 1 species
AUGAACGCUGGCGGCGUGCCUAAUACAUGCAAGUCGAGCGAACAGACGAGGAGCUUGCUCCUCUGACGUUAGCGGCGGACGGGUGAGUAACACGUGGAUAACCUACCUAUAAGACUGGGAUAACUUCGGGAAACCGGAGCUAAUACCGGAUAAUAUAUUGAACCGCAUGGUUCAAUAGUGAAAGACGGUUUUGCUGUCACUUAUAGAUGGAUCCGCGCCGCAUUAGCUAGUUGGUAAGGUAACGGCUUACCAAGGUAACGAUGCGUAGCCGACCUGAGAGGGUGAUCGGCCACACUGGAACUGAGACACGGUCCAGACUCCUACGGGAGGCAGCAGUAGGGAAUCUUCCGCAAUGGGCGAAAGCCUGACGGAGCAACGCCGCGUGAGUGAUGAAGGUCUUCGGAUCGUAAAACUCUGUUAUUAGGGAAGAACAAAUGUGUAAGUAACUAUGCACGUCUUGACGGUACCUAAUCAGAAAGCCACGGCUAACUACGUG